UAGGGAAUCUUCGGCAAUGGACGAAAGUCUGACCGAGCAACGCCGCGUGAGUGAAGAAGGUUUUCGGAUCGUAAAACUCUGUUGUUAGAGAAGAACAAGGAUGAGAGUAACUGUUCAUCCCUUGACGGUAUCUAACCAGAAAGCCACGGCUAACUACGUGCCAGCAGCCGCGGUAAUACGUAGGUGGCAAGCGUUGUCCGGAUUUAUUGGGCGUAAAGCGAGCGCAGGCGGUUUCUUAAGUCUGAUGUGAAAGCCCCCGGCUCAACCGGGGAGGGUCAUUGGAAACUGGGAGACUUGAGUGCAGAAGAGGAGAGUGGAAUUCCAUGUGUAGCGGUGAAAUGCGUAGAUAUAUGGAGGAACACCAGUGGCGAAGGCGGCUCUCUGGUCUGUAACUGACGCUGAGGCUCGAAAGCGUGGGGAGCAAACAGG
rnacentral:rRNA from 2 species